UACGAAGGGGGCUAGCGUUGUUCGGAUUUACUGGGCGUAAAGCGCACGUAGGCGGAUCGUUAAGUCAGGGGUGAAAUCCUGGAGCUCAACUCCAGAACUGCCUUUGAUACUGGCGAUCUUGAGUCCGGAAGAGGUGAGUGGAACUCCUAGUGUAGAGGUGGAAUUCGUAGAUAUUAGGAAGAACACCAGUGGCGAAGGCGGCUCACUGGCCCGGUACUGACGCUGAGGCGCGAAAGCGUGGGGAGCAAACAGG
rnacentral:rRNA from 1 species